CAGCCGCCGCGGUAAUACGGAGGGUGCGAGCGUUAAUCGGAAUUACUGGGCGUAAAGCGUACGCAGGCGGUUUGUUAAGUCAGAUGUGAAAUCCCCGAGCUUAACUCGGGAACUGCAUUUGAAACUGGCAGGCUAGAGUCUCGUAGAGGGGGGUAGAAUUCCAGGUGUAGCGGUGAAAUGCGUAGAGAUCUGGAGGAAUACCGGUGGCGAAGGCGGCCCCCUGGACGAAGACUGACGCUCAGGUACGAAAGCGUGGGGAGCAAACAGGAUUAGAUACCCCUGUAGUCCCUGUCUCUUAUAU
rnacentral:rRNA from 1 species